rnacentral:rRNA from 1 species
GGGCGGUCUCCUCCCAAAGAGUAACGGAGGAGCACGAAGGUUAGCUAAUCACGGUCGGACAUCGUGAGGUUAGUGCAAAGGCAUAAGCUAGCUUGACUGCGAGAGUGACGGCUCGAGCAGGUACGAAAGUAGGUCUUAGUGAUCCGGUGGUUCUGAAUGGAAGGGCCAUCGCUCAACGGAUAAAAGGUACUCCGGGGAUAACAGGCUGAUACCGCCCAAGAGUUCAUAUCGACGGCGGUGUUUGGCACCUCGAUGUCGGCUCAUCACAUCCUGGGGCUGAAGUAGGUCCCAAGGGUAUGGCUGUUCGCCAUUUAAAGUGGUACGCGAGCUGGGUUUAGAACGUCGUGAGACAGUUCGGUCCCUAUCUGCCGUGGGCGUUGGAAGAUUGAGAGGGGUUGCUCCUAGUACGAGAGGACCGGAGUGAACGCACCACUGGUGUUCGGGUUGUCAUGCCAAUGGCAUUGCCCGGUAGCUAAGUGCGGAAAAGAUAAGCGCUGAAAGCAUCUAAGCGCGAAACUUGCCUCAAGAUGAGUCUUCCCUGGGCCUUCAAGGCCCCUGAAGGAACGUUUAAGACUAAGACGUUGAUAGGCUGGGUGUGUAAGUGCAGCGAUGCAUUGAGCUAACCAGUACUAAUGAUCCGUGAGGCUUAACCUU